rnacentral:rRNA from 1 species
AUGUCGACAUCCACCGCGGUAGUCUCCUCUGGCCUCAACAACAAUGUCUCUGAACCCCUCACACGAUCCAACUAUGUUCUUUGGCGUGCUCAAGCUCGCUCCCAGAUCAUGGGGGGCGGCCUCUUUGGGUACAUCGACAAAACCCUAGAACAACCAUCCAAAACCAUCACUAGCAAGAAUGCCGAGGGCAAAGAUCAGGUGGCUGUGAACCCUGCUUAUGCGCCUUGGCUCAUCCAAGAUCAGCAAAUAGUUGCCUAUCUUCGCAAUCUUUCCAAAGAAGUCCUAGUUCAAGUCACAUCUCUUUAA